ACGAACGCUGGCGGCGUGCUUAACACAUGCAAGUCGAACGGAAAGGCCCUGCUUUUGUGGGGUGCUCGAGUGGCGAACGGGUGAGUAACACGUGAGUAACCUGCCCUUGACUUUGGGAUAACUUCAGGAAACUGGGGCUAAUACCGGAUAGGAGCUCCUGCUGCAUGGUGGGGGUUGGAAAGUUUCGGCGGUUGGGGAUGGACUCGCGGCUUAUCAGCUUGUUGGUGGGGGAGUGGCUUACCAAGGCUUUGACGGGUAGCCGGCCUGAGAGGGUGACCGGCGACAAUGGGACUAAGGUACGGCCCAGACUCCAACGGGAGGCAGCAGUGGGGAGUAUGGCACAAUGGGCGGAAGCCGGAUGCAGCAACGCCGCGUGCGGGAUGACGGCCUUCGGGUUGUAAACCGCUGUCGCCUGUGACGAAGCGGGAGUGACGGUAAUGGGUAAAGAAGCACCGGCUAACUACGUG
rnacentral:rRNA from 1 species